rnacentral:lncRNA from 1 species
GGGUUGAUUAUCAAAAAUAAUGACUAUAAUCAAGAUAGAGUGUGGAAGAGAAGUAAAGCAAAUCAAGGAUAUUUUCCCCCUUCUGAUUUAAAUUUUGAUGUGGAAUGGGGAUGAACCAGCACUAACAUUUUCAACCGUAUGGAUCAUUUGAAUAGAUUCAUGUCAUUUCAAUAUGGGAGUGGGUCCUUCAAAAUGAUGAAACAAUAUCCUUAGCUAAGAGCUAGCAUCCUCUCAAAUUUAAUA